AUAGAUGGCUCUCUUCAUUGGAACUAAUCUGAAUCAUCUAAUUGUUGAGAAGUGUCACGUCCAUCAGAAUUGAUCAUGUAUAAUCUUGCCAUUGCCGUGUACAGUGUACAAUGAUCUCCUGGUUCUGCUCAUUUCACUCAGCAUCAGUUCAUAUUUCCAGUUCUUCUUUGGCCAGAAAUUAAUUCCUUCUCCACAGAUCUGAGAGCAAGCAGCAUAUCAACACAACUUAUUUAUGAGUCUGAGAACCUACCCCAACUGAUGGUGACAGUGACAGAUUAUGCCCAAGAUGUGUGCUGAAUUGAAUUUGAUCUUGUUUUGACAUACAGUUUUAAAUAGUUGUUUGAUUCCCUUCAUUGUUAGCUUGAAUAAAUUCACCAUGAUGGUCUCUGUUGACUUUGGGAUAUUUUGUUCACUAAAAAAAAAAAAAAAAAAAAAAAAAGUUAUAUGAGUAUUGUACUUUAAAAUAUCUAAUCAUUUUGACCAUUGUUUCAUUCCUUUUCACAGAGGAUUUUUGUAUUUUUCCUUUUCCCAAAGAAUCCUGUCCUACAUUUUGGAAGACUCUGCAUUACAUCAUAUCCUUUUUUUCAUAAUACUUUUACCACUUCUAUCUCAUAAGCUGGUAAAUCUUAAGGGCUACAAAGAUGUUAGUAUGAUACAAACAGAUGUCAAAAGGAAUUCCCAAAGAAACCAUUACUUUGAAUCAGCAACCAAAAACAAGGAAACCUAGAUUGUUUUCCAUUAAGCCAAGAGAAUUGAAAAAAGAAUUUCUAGGAGUAAAGCAGAUAUUACAUUAUGAAACUCAAAACUUUACCUAGAAGAAAGAAGAAUCCCAAUAUGGAUGCAGACAUAGAGGCCUCAUGACAUCACAAUUAUGCUGGUACCCACAGAAAGUGUGAGAACAAUCUUUAAGUCCCAUGGAACUAAUUUGUAAUCAAAUCUAAGUAUAACCGAGAACUUGGGACUUCCACCUGAAGAUAGAAGCAUCUAAUAAUUUUAAUGUUUCUAUAGUAAAUCCUCUAGAUGUCCAUUUUCCUUAAAUGUUUGUCCAUAAGAACAAGAGCAUGAAGACAGAAUAUGAGAAAUAAUUUAAGCCAUAAAAUAAGGAGUUCUUCUUUGAUCCUAUUGCCCCCCCCCUUAAAUUUCAAAAUCCUUUAAUGUUAAGACAGAGGAAGUGGAACUAAUCUGAUUUUACAUAUGGUACCAGAAAAUGGCUAGUGCUGCUUGUUCCUUACAUUUUCAGCUGUCACCAUGAAAGUCUUCCAAAGUAAUUUUGGAUAUUUGGGUCAAGAGAGAGAGAAUCCUUGAACAAUUGAAAGAUAGGUUUUACA